CUUUCGCCGUGCCCGCGGCAAUCGACGCUUCGCACCAUGGUUCGCACUUCGCGGUCGCAGUUAAUUUGUAUUGUUCCUGCCUAGUCGUGCGACGUUCUACUCGCACAGUUCAUAGGCCUUCUAGUUCCACGUCGUAGACACCAGCUUUACGACACACCCCGACUCCGAGACAAGACUGGCCGAAGGGCGACACUUUCACAUCGCAAGGGGUCUGUGGCUGAAGGCGACAUGGCAAAGGGAGGAGAGGAGGAACCUCCUGUACAAGUAGCAUGCCCCCUACCACCAAAUGUGCAGCAUCCACCAGGUGCCAUGCCAGUCCGGAGAACUAGGGCCAGGUCUGGAGCCGAUACGGCACGGGAUCUGCUGUCCAUUCGGCAGGACCAGCUGGCUGUCCAGCGAGAACUGCUGGCCACACAGCAGGGUUUGCUGGCCACCCAGCAGCAGCAGCUGGCAGUUCAGCAGGAAAUGCUGCUCGUGCAGAGAGAGGCAGUCGAUGCACUCCGUCGACUUGCAAGCGCUGUAGAGGGACAAGCAGCAGCAAGUGCACACCAGUCGUCCGCACUGACUUCGCUAGUGCUCCAGCUCGUCGGUGUGCAGAAUCUCCAUCCGCCAGCCGAAUAAACGGCCAUUUUGUAAACUGUGGCUAGACCGAACAACGUCUGUGCCUCGAUGGGCUUCUCAAGCGUGGCGCUGCUCCCCAUUCUGGCUCGCUGUGGCUCGCGUGUGGUGUCCGCGUUUCAAGACCAACUUUCCUUAACUGGUUAGGUUACAUGUUGAGACCUCAUGGCGGUUGCAUGGAACAAGAAGAAAAGGAAUGGCGCGGCGUGCGCGGGAAGUCCACCGGAAGACGCUGGCCCCCUGGUGGCGAAAUACACAUAUGCAGCAGUUUCGCUUCUUGGAUACUUGCAUUGAAGCAUAUGGGCAAUCAGAAGAAGAAGUUGUCGAGUUCUGUGCGCAUAUGUUAGGUGUACAGCUUGGCCCCUCUAAUCUGGAGAAAUCGCACCAACUAGGGAAAUUCCAGCCCGAGAAAACUAGGCCGAUCAUCGUUAAGUUUGCCCAUUUCUAAGACGGAGAAAGCAUUUUGGCCUCCGGUUUCAAAUUGAAAGACGCCCCUUAUUCCCUAUGCAAGGAUUCUUCUGCGUUUGUAUGACUUGCUCGUAGCAAACCUUUUGAGUACAGAAAAAGUAUGAAUGUACAAUUUAAGGUUCGUUUCAACAAACUUAAUGUUGGCUACAAACGUUUCGUCAUUGACCCGGUGUCUCAAACUGUAGUUGACGUGUCAUAGCUACAUGCUUGUAAUAAAAAUAAACUAUUGCCUCC
rnacentral:lncRNA from 1 species